rnacentral:misc_RNA from 1 species
GAUGAAGAACGUAGCGAAAUGCGAUACUUGGUGUGAAUUGCAGAAUCCCAUGAACCAUCGAGUCUUUGAACGCAAGUUGCGCCCGAAGCCACUAGGCCGAGGGCACGCCUGCCUGGGCGUCACACGCCGUUGCCCCCCCAUCUACUCCUUCGGGAUUGCGGGGGGGCGGAUGAUGGCCUCCUGUGCGCCUAGCCGCGCGGUUGGCAUAAAUACCAAGUCCUCGGCGACGCACGCCACGACAAUCGGUGGUUGCGAAACCUCGGUUGCCCGUCGUGUGCGUUCGUCGCGCAUCGAGGGCUCGAAAAAAUGCUCGGCUCCGGCUGGGCUUUCAACGCGACCCCAGGUCAGGCGGGGUUACCCGCUGAAUUUAAGCAUAUCAAUAAGCGGAGGA